AUGCCCCCUGUCCUGGUCAAAGAAGCACUUCACUUCAUGCUCGUGUAUGCUCGUGAUGGCCAUGUAGAAAUUCUCAAGUACGACUUGAGAUGUAGUUGCUUAUCACUGGUUGAUGUGCCGCUUGUGGGGCGUGGCAUACACGGUGCCGCUAUCCUCAUGGCGAUGGAGGAUGGUAGUUUGGGGUUUGCACAUGUGGAUGGGUUAACCCUCCACAUCUGGUCAAGAGAAAUGGAUUUCAACAGAGUUGCGUCAUGGAGUCAACGUACAAUUAUCGAUCUCAGGAAUCUUCUCCCCAUCCAAAAUACCGAUGAAAGACUUAGACUGAUUGGAUCCGUUGAGGGCAGUGAUACCGUUUUCGUGACCACGGACCUGGGCAUCUACGAGAUUAAUGUCAAGUCACAGCGUUGGAAGGAGAUAUGGAAGAGCGAGAAAUUUCGUGCUUUGAUUCCGUACAUGAGUUUCUACAAUCCACAAGAAAGGGUGAUGCCCUGUGACGCGGCGCAUUGA
rnacentral:rRNA from 1 species